CACUUUUCUGCGUCUCAUCUGUACCAAUGAGGACUUAGCUUGACUUAGGACAGCCCAGAGGUCUGUCCUUUUUUUGCCCAUGUCUGUUGAAGGCCAUCUCCUCAGAUAAUUAAAUCUUGAGUUUGAUGCAGUCCUUUCAAAAUCUUGUUAAACUGAAUAGGGUGGAGAAUGUGGAAUUUCCAAGACCUGAUUCUGUUAUUCCAAGUAUCUCCAUUGUUAUUGAUCAGGAAAAGCUAAGUCAGAUCUUCUAAAGAAUGGUCUGAUUAGGGUGGAAAGAAGCCAGCAUCUUUCCCUCUACCAAGCUCCUCAUGGCAGUUCUUAUUUCACUCUUUCCAGGAAGGAAAAAGAAGCAGAGGGAGCAGCAGGUUCUGGCUUUAUACCAGGAAAGCAAGAAAAACCAACGCCUCUGACAUCAUCAAUCAUCAAGAUGAGAGUUCACAUUUAUGGAGGGUAUGUAAUGGGGAGACUGACUAAUGAGGGCACAGUCCUUGGAAAAUGCUCCAUUUGCCUUUCCUGGGGGGCAAAGAGGAUUUACAACAAUGGCUGGCUGCCUAUGGUUCAGUCGACUGCUUGGAAAGCCUCUUUCUAGAGAUGUGUGAUGGAGCGGCUGGUACUGUGCGAUAAUGAAGUCUUCUAAUUGACUGAGGAGUAAAAAGGACCAAGGACUCAGCAAGUGCCAACCCAGAACUAAACCCUAUACAAAAAAGAAUGACCCUCCACUAGCUCACUCUCCUUUGUUUCCUGACAAGUGUCAAAGAACUGCUAUGAGCUGCUGGGUGGAUGGAAAGGAGGCUGCCCUAUCUCCCACUUAGGUACCAUGUGCUUGUGAGUUCAUGGUGUCUCUGUUGCUUUGAUGUUUGUUUGUUUUUUCUCAAAACUUUUGUCUUAUAAUUAACAGUAUGCAUUGGCUCCAAGUCAGAAAUAAUGCAAGGUAAGAGAAUUAAAAAUAUGAGUCUAUAUAGUUUUAGAAUAGAUGGCACCUAAACUUUCUCUCUUAUUUUUAAACCCUCACCUUCUGUCUUAGAAUCAAUACUGUGUAUUGGUUCCAAGGCAGAAGGGCAGUAAUGGUUAGGCAAUGGAGGUUAAGUGACUUGUCCAGGGUCACCCAUCUAGGAAGUGUCUGAGGUCAUAUUUGAACCCAGGACCUCCUGUCUCCAGGCCUAGUUCUCAAUCCACUGAGCCACCUGGCUGCACUGUUGCCCCCAUUCAUAUUUUUUUUUGGUAAAUAUACAUCCAUUUUACUUAGAUUGUCAGAUUUAUUGGUAUAUAAUUGGGCAAAAUAGCUCCUAAUGAUUGUUUUAAUUUCCUCUUCAUUGGGUAGUGAAUUCACCCUUUUCAUUUUUGAUACUGAUUAUUUGGUUUUCUUCUUUUUCUUUUUUAAAUCAAAUUAACCCAUUUGGGUUUUUAAUAGAAAGAAUAUUAUGAAAUGAGAGUGUCCAGGUGAACAAAUGAGCCCCAGAGACGCAUCAAAGACAUCAGCAGCCCUGCUGGCAAUCCAUGACAGUGGCAGAAUCCAUUAAAGUUGGCACCAAUAGAUGAUGGAG
rnacentral:lncRNA from 1 species